AACUUUUAACAAUGGAUCACUUGGCUCUCGCAUCGAUGAAGAACGCAGCGAAAUGCGAUAAGUAAUGUGAAUUUCAGAAUUCAGUGAAUCAUCGAAUCUUUGAACGCACCUUGCGCUCCUUGGUAUUCCGAGGAGCAUGCCUGUUUGAGUGUCAUGGUAUUCUCAAUUCCCUUGGUUUCUGCCAAGGUGAUAUUGGACUUGGAGGCUAUUGCUGGCAUCAUCUCUGAAGCAAGCUCCUCUUAAAUGAAUCAGUGUGAAUAUUCACUUCAUACUUGGUGUGAUAAUUAUCUACACUAUGUUUGAGUGAUACAGCUUCAUGCUUCGAAUCGUCGCAAGACACUACUUUGACUUCUGACCUCAAAUCAGGUAGGAUUACCCGCUGAACUUAAGCAUAUCAAUAAGCGGAGGCU
rnacentral:misc_RNA from 1 species